rnacentral:rRNA from 1 species
UACGGGAGGCAGCAGUCGGGAAUAUUGCGCAAUGGAGGAAACUCUGACGCAGUGACGCCGCGUAUAGGAAGAAGUUUUUCGGAAUGUAAACUAUUGUAGACAGGGAAGAAAAAGACAGUACCUGUAAAGUAAGCUCCGGCUAACUAUGUGCCAGCAGCCGCGGUAAU